AGGGAAACACCGAAGGACAGCUUCAGGAUGGGGCUAGGACAAUCGUAAGGAUACGGUAUAGGGAAGUGUUCUAGGAUAGGACAAGGACCUCUCAGGACGAGUUAUCAGGAACGCCUUCAGGAUGAGGGAAAGGGACACCGCCAGGAUGGAUUGAGAGAGUCGCUUUAGGAUAGAGCGACAGGUCAGGGAAACACCGAAGGACAGCUCGAGGAUGGAGCUUAGGGAUUACCGCCAAGGAUGUGAACAACAAGGAUGAUGCAGGGAGCAUUAUCGUAGCGGGAUGGCUACAUGUAAGACCUAAGGGCGCAACGGAUGUUGCGCCCGUUCUUUUAUGU
rnacentral:other from 1 species